GAUGAACGCUGGCGGCGUGCCUAAUACAUGCAAGUCGAGCGAACGGACCAUAAUCUUGCUUUUCUGAUUUUAGCGGCUGACGUGUGUUUAACACUUGUAUAACCUACCUAUAUUUCUUGUAUAACUUCGUGAAACCGUAUCUAAUACCGGAUAAUAUUUUUAACCUCAUGUUUCAUAAUUUAAUUACGUUCUUUCUGUCUCUUAUAGAUUUUUCCGCGCUGCAUUAUCUAGUUGGUAAGGUAACGGCUUACCAAGGCAACGAUGCAUAGCCGACCUGAGAGGGUGAUCGGAGAAACUGGAACUGAGACACGGAACAGACUACUACGGGAGGCAGCAGUAGGGAAUAUUACGCAAUGGGCGAAAGCAUGACGGAGCAACGCAGAGUGAGUGAAGAAGGUCUUAGGAUCGUAAAAAUCUGUUAUUAGGGAAGAAAAAAUGUGUAAGUAAAUGUGCACAGAAUGACGGUAACAAAUCAGAAAGCAACGGCUAACUACGUG
rnacentral:rRNA from 1 species